AUUGAACGCUGGCGGCAGGCCUAACACAUGCAAGUCGAGCGGAGCGGCUGACGGGUGAGUAAUGCCUAGGAAUCUGCCUGGUCGUGGGGGAUAACGUCCGGAAACGGGCGCUAAUACCUCCUACUAUCCGUUGAGCCUAGGUCGGAUUAGCUAGUUGGUGGGGUAAAGGCCUACCAAGGCGACGAUCCGUAACUGGUCUGAGAGGAUGAUCAGUCACACUGGAACUGAGACACGGGCCAGACUCCUACGGGAGGCAGCAGUGGGGAAUAUUGGAAAAUGGGCGAAAGCCUGAUCCAGCCAUGCCGCGUGUGUGAAGAAGGUCUUCGGAUUGUAAAGCACUUUAAGUUGGGAGGCGUUACCAACAGAAUAAGCACCGGCUAACUUCGUGCCAGCCGCCGCGGUAAUAC
rnacentral:rRNA from 1 species